GGGUCAGUAGGUUGGUCGUGCCACCGGUACGUACUGGUCUCACUGAUUCCUCCUUCCUGAAGAACCGUAAUGCCAUUAAUUUGGUGUUGCGGGGAAACAGGACUGUUACUUUGAAAAAAUUAGAGUGUAUAAAGCAAGCUGACGCUUGAAUACAUUAGCAUGGAAUAAUGAAAUAGGACGAUCGAUCCUAUUUUGUUGGUUUCUAGGAUUGACGUA
rnacentral:rRNA from 1 species